UGGGGAAUCUUGGACAAUGGGGGCAACCCUGAUCCAGCCAUGCCGCGUGAGUGAUGAAGGCCUUAGGGUCGUAAAGCUCUUUCGCCUGUGAAGAUAGUGACGGUACCUAGUAAAGAAGUCCCGGCUAACUCCGUGCCAGCAGCCGCGGUAAUACGGAGGGGACUAGCGUUGUUCGGAAUUACUGGGCGUAAAGAGUUCGUAGGCGGACUAGCAAGUUAGAGGUGAAAUCCCAGGGCUCAACCUUGGAACUGCCUUUAAAACUGCUAGUCUAGAGACCGGAAGAGGUUAGGGGAAUACCUAGUGUAGAGGUGAAAUUCGUAGAUAUUAGGUGGAACACCAGUGGCGAAGGCGCCUAACUGGUCCGGUACUGACGCUGAGGAACGAAAGCGUGGGGAGCAAAC
rnacentral:rRNA from 1 species